CACUCUAGAGAGACUGCCAGGGAUAACCUGGAGGAAGGUGGGGAUGACGUCAAAUCAUCAUGCCCCUUAUGCUUAGGGCUACACACGUGCUACAAUGGGUAGUACAGAGGGUUGCCAAGCCGUAAGGCGGAGCUAAUCCCUUAAAGCUACUCUCAGUUCGGAUUGUAGGCUGAAACUCGCCUACAUGAAGCUGGAGUUACUAGUAAGCGCAGAUCAGAAUGCUGCGGUGAAUGCGUUCCCGGGUCUUGUACACACCGCCCGUCACACCACGGGAGUUGGAGACGCCCGAAGCCGAUUAUCUAACCUUUUGGAAGAAGUCGUCGAAGGUGGAAUCAAUAACUGGGGUGAAGUCGUAACAAGGUAGCCGUAUCGGAAGGUGCGGCUGGAUCACCUCCUUUCUAAGGAGA
rnacentral:rRNA from 1 species